AGUCAUCAGAGCUCUCCCCAAGCGCGCGCGUGUGUGUUUGUGUGUGUGGUUUAGGUCUUUGUGAGUGAGGGACAUUGUGACCAAAUGUCCCCAGUAUAACUCCAAACACGACCGUGUCGGCGUUCCGAGGACGUUUAGUAGGUCCCCAAGAGGAUUUAUUACAAAAGGCAGCUUCUAUGAAAAAAGGGGCAAAGUCCUAGCAGUCCUCCAUACUGCAGCUACAGUUAGAUGUUGUGAGAGGAGCACAAUGUAGUUUCUGAUGGACUUGGUGCUACAUUAAACCCAGAAGAGCAGCGGACAAUACAUACAAUGUCUAGACCAAAAGCCUGCUGAAAAGAGAAGAACAGGGCCUGAGAAACUUCAGCUCCUGCUGAUGGAUGCUGGACGUGCCAAGAUGUUCAACUGCAGUUCUACCAGGAAGCUGAAAAGUUCUUGGACAGAGAACUUCUGGUACUUUUACUUUGACUGGAAUCAUUAUUUCUUUUCCGUAACAACCCUUUUAAAUUUCCUGAAAAGUCUUGUUUUAAGCUCUUCUACCUGCACUUGCCUUCAAGUAAAGUGAUGACCUCUCGUGUCCACAGUUGGAGCACCAGAUGUUGCUCCGUUCUCCUUCCACUCCUCCAUCUCCCUCUUCUCUGUGGGUAUCUCUCAGCCUCUCUGGUCCCAGAGCGUGUUACGUAAAUCUGAGCAGUUCAAUAAUUCAUGCGCAGCCCUUUUAAGCUCGACCUGAGUGCGUGAAUAUGCCUCCCACACGCACACACACUCACUCACACCUGCAGCCCUCUCACACUCACCUAAACACUCAUGAAAGACAAUAGCCUGGAAGAGUUUCUUGCAUUUUAUUUGACAAAGUAUUUCUUUUCCUCAUUUUGUUCUUUUUCUCUUCUCUUCUAUCGUAUAUGUACAGUAUUAAAAAUAAAUCAUUUUCAAUAAGGAGUACAUUCCACACGUACAGUGCAAUGUGUAGCAUGUCCCUCUUGUAAAGUGCAUCGUACUUGUCAUCAGAUUAGAGUUCACAAUACAAAGAGAGAAACACAAAAAAGAAAAAAAAAAUACUAACUGGUAGUUUACAUCACAGUAUUGUUAACCCAGUCAUCAUUUCUUGCCACCUGCUUGUGUUACGAUUUUU